UCAGUGUCUUCUGAACUGAGAGGCCCAGAACUGGACACAGCACUCAAGGUGUGGCCUCACCAGUGCUGAGUACAGGAGAAGAAUCAUUGUCUUUGAAGACAUUCCUUGUCAAUGAGAGAAAACACUCAUAUCACCAAGUGGAAGAUUGCUACAGGUUGAAAAAAGAGGAGAUUUGCUUGCUUAACAGUAGCUGUAUAGGAACAGAUUCCCUGCUUAGGGAACAGGUCAGGCUGUUUUGAUACUGCUUCUCUUUGGGAAAUGCACAGUGCAAUGGGAACGUGUGUGCUACAGAACUCCAUGAGGCUGGGGCUACUUUUAACUCUGCCAGGACAUCCCCUUAACUGGGAAGAUGCAAAAGUAUGGGCCAGACCAAAGCAGCUGGACCACACUCCCUGCUGAAUGUGUACCAGCAAGCCGUGUGCCUUCUUCUGAAGGCAAGGAGCAGAAAGUAGAAAAAUGGGAAAGCAGCUUCGAAGCCCAAACCACUGAAAGAGACAGACUUAAGUUUCAUUGGAAGAGUGAUGAGGAAAAGGAAGAAGUGUGUGUUACUGCACAAUUCAGAGAGCUCCACUGAAGACAGCCUGUCUGAGGCACAACUCCCUCCUUCAUUUUAAUGUUCUCAUGUGGGCAUCUCAGCAUAUUCUGUUAUAGACUAUCCCCAUGUAUUACAUGAAGUAAAUACAGGAUGAUUAGCUAGCAAAUUGAAUAUUCCAAGUACUGCAACAAUGAGCUCAAAGAAGACCUGAAUAUGUUGCAUCUACUGAACUUUCUUUAGCUCCUGAGGCUCUAUUUUUGUGCUCAAUAUUGCAACUGAACUUCACAAACCAUGACACCACACUAAACAAGCUCGAAUGUGUGAUUUUUAAACAGCUGAAGAUGAAGAAUUACCAUUUUUAACAGCUAUUACUAAGUAUCCCUUAUGGCACUAGAGAUGAAAUCCCCACACUUUCCAAAUGCAAGCUUAGGCCAACUCUUCUCAGUGGUUUUCUGCAUGCAUCUGCAUGGCACAGAGAAGCAUUAAGCCAUGAGGUGUUUAAUAGGCAACAGUUCUGCUGCUGCAGGUGUCCCACUGCAAACUGUUUGCUCCCCAAGAAGAGACUGCAGCCCAACAGGCAGAAAUUCUUGCAUUUCAGAAGUAUCACUAGAAAUUUAAGGUUAAUAUAGUAGCUAGUCCAUAAAACCUAAAAGCCAUGUGCACAUUCCAGAGAUUGCCAUUUUCAGCUGAAAAAUAUGACCUGCCUGGAAAUAAAGUGGACAUUUAGUCAAAAAUUUCA
ensembl:lncRNA